rnacentral:rRNA from 1 species
UACGGAGGGGGCGAGCGUUGUCCGAAGUUACUGGGCGUAAAGCGCGCGUAGGCGGGUUGGUAAGUCCGCUGUGAAAGCCCGGAGCUUAACUCCGGAGGGUCGGUGGAUACUGCCAGUCUUGAAGGUGCUAGGGGGAGAUGGAAUUACCGGUGUAGCGGUGAAAUGCGUAGAGAUCGGUAGGAACACCAGUGGCGAAGGCGGUCUCCUGGGGCAUUCUUGACGCUGAGGCGACGAAAGCUGGGGGGAGCGAACGGG